rnacentral:rRNA from 1 species
UACGUAGGGGGCAAGCGUUGUCCGGAUUUAUUGGGCGUAAAGAGCGUGUAGGCGGUGUGUCGCGUCGGCCGUGAAAACCUGCAGCUUAACUGUGGGCGUGCGGUCGAUACGGGCAUCACUGGAGUUCGGCAGGGGAGACUGGAAUUCCUGGUGUAGCGGUGAAAUGCGCAGAUAUCAGGAGGAACACCGGUGGCGAAGGCGGGUCUCUGGGCCGAUACUGACGCUGAGGAGCGAAAGCGUGGGGAGCGAACAGG